AGUAAAUAGAUACCCAGGUAGUCCACGCCGUAAACGAUGAGUACUAGGUGUAGGAGGUAUCGACUCCUUCUGUGCCGCAGUUAAACACAAUAAGUACUCCGCCUGGGAAGUACGGUCGCAAGAUUAAAACUCAAAGGAAUUGACGGGGGCCCGCACAAGCAGCGGAGCAUGUGGUUUAAUUCGAAGCAACGCGAAGAACCUUACCUAGACUUGACAUCCCCUGAAUAACGUAGAGAUACGCGAAGCCCUUCGGGGCAGGGAGACAGGUGGUGCAUGGUUGUCGUCAGCUCGUGUCGUGAGAUGUUGGGUUAAGUCCCGCAACGAGCGCAACCCUUAUCAUUAGUUGCUACCAUUUAGUUGAGCACUCUAGUGAGACUGCCCGGGUUAACCGGGAGGAAGGCGGGGAUGACGUCAAAUCAUCAUGCCCCUUAUGUCUAGGGCUACACACGUGCUACAAUGGUGAGAACAACGAGAUGCAAUA
rnacentral:rRNA from 1 species